AUGUGGCGUUGCCCAGACAACUAGGAUGUUGGCUUAGAAGCAGCCAUCAUUUAAAGAGUGCGUAAUAGCUCACUAGUCGAGUGACACUGCGCCGAAAAUGUACCGGGGCUAAACAUAUUACCGAAGCUGUGGAUUGUCCUUUGGACAAUGGUAGGAGAGCGUUCUAAGGGCGUUGAAGCAUGAUCGUAAGGACAUGUGGAGCGCUUUAGAAGUGAGAAUGCCGGUGUGAGUAGCGAAAGACGGGUGAGAAUCCCGUCCACCGAUUGACUAAGGUUUCCAGAGGAAGGCUCGUCCGCUCUGGGUUAGUCGGGUCCUAAGCUGAGGCCGACAGGCGUAGGCGAUGGAUAACAGGUUGAUAUUCCUGUACCACCUAUAAUCGUUUUAAUCGAUGGGGGGACGCAGUAGGAUAGGCGAAGCGUGCGAUUGGAUUGCACGUCUAAGCAGUAAGGCUGAGUAUUAGGCAAUCCGGUACUCGUUAAGGCUGAGCUGUGAUGGGGAGAAGACAUUGUGUCUUCGAGUCGUUGAUUUUCACACUGCCGAGAAAAGCCUCUAGAUAGAAAAUAGGUGCCCGUACCGCAAACCGACACAGGUAGUCAAGAUGAGAAUUCUAAGGUGGAGCGAGCGAACUCUCGUUAAGGAACUCGGCAAAAUGACCCCGUAACUUCGGGAGAAGGGGGUGCUCUUUAGGGUUAACGCCCAGAAGAGCCGCAGUGAAUAGGCCCAAGCGACUGUUUAUCAAAAACACAGGUCUCUGCUAAACCGUAAGGUGAUGUAUAGGGGCUGACGCCUGCCCGGUGCUGGAAGGUUAAGAGGAGUGGUUAGCUUCUGCGAAGCUACGAAUCGAAGCCCCAGUAAACGGCGGCCGUAACUAUAACGGUCCUAAGGUAGCGAAAUUCCUUGUCGGGUAAGUUCCGACCCGCACGAAAGGCGUAACGAUUUGGGCACUGUCUCAACGAGAGACUCGGUGAAAUCAUAGUACCUGUGAAGAUGCAGGUUACCCGCGACAGGACGGAAAGACCCCGUGGAGCUUUACUGUAGCCUGAUAUUGAAAUUCGGCACAGCUUGUACAGGAUAGGUAGGAGCCUUUGAAACGUGAGCGCUAGCUUACGUGGAGGCGCUGGUGGGAUACUACCCUAGCUGUGUUGGCUUUCUAACCCGCACCACUUAUCGUGGUGGGAGACAGUGUCAGGCGGGCAGUUUGACUGGGGCGGUCGCCUCCUAAAAGGUAACGGAGGCGCUCAAAGGUUCCCUCAGAAUGGUUGGAAAUCAUUCAUAGAGUGUAAAGGCAUAAGGGAGCUUGACUGCGAGACCUACAAGUCGAGCAGGGUCGAAAGACGGACUUAGUGAUCCGGUGGUUCCGCAUGGAAGGGCCAUCGCUCAACGGAUAAAAGCUACCCCGGGGAUAACAGGCUUAUCUCCCCCAAGAGUUCACAUCGACGGGGAGGUUUGGCACCUCGAUGUCGGCUCAUCGCAUCCUGGGGCUGUAGUCGGUCCCAAGGGUUGGGCUGUUCGCCCAUUAAAGCGGUACGCGAGCUGGGUUCAGAACGUCGUGAGACAGUUCGGUCCCUAUCCGUCGUGGGCGUAGGAAAUUUGAGAGGAGCUGUCCUUAGUACGAGAGGACCGGGAUGGACAUACCUCUGGUGUACCAGUUGUCGUGCCAACGGCAUAGCUGGGUAGCUAUGUGUGGACGGGAUAAGUGCUGAAAGCAUCUAAGCAUGAAGCCCCCCUCAAGAUGAGAUUUCCCAACUUCGGUUAUAAGAUCCCUCAAAGAUGAUGAGGUUAAUAGGUUCGAGGUGGAAGCAUGGUGACAUGUGGAGCUGACGAAUACUAAUCGAUCGAAGACUUAAUCAA
rnacentral:rRNA from 1 species